GGGGAGGUAGCGAAGCGGUCAAACGCAACAGACUGUAAAUCUGUCGGCUCAGGCCUUCGGUGGUUCGAAUCCGCCCCUCCCCA
rnacentral:tRNA from 1 species